GACGAACGCUGGCGGCGUGCUUAACACAUGCAAGUCGAACGAUGAAGCCGGAGCUUGCUCCGGUGGAUUAGUGGCGAACGGGUGAGUAACACGUGAGCAAUCUGCCCUUGACUCUGGGAUAACUGCGGGAAACUGUAGCUAAUACCGGAUACGACACCUUGGGGCAUCCCGGGGUGUGGAAAGAAUUUCGGUCAAGGAUGAGCGCGCGGCCUAUCAGCUAGUUGGUGAGGUAAUGGCUCACCAAGGCGACGACGGGUAGCCGGCCUGAGAGGGUGACCGGCAGCACUGGAACAGAGACACGGUCCAGACUCCUACGGGAGGCGGCAGUGGGGAAUAUUGCACAAUGGGCGAAAGCCUGAUGCAGCAACGCCGAGUGAGGGAUGUAGGCCUUCGGGUUGUAAACCUCUUUUAGCAGGGAAGAAGCGAAAGUGACGGUACCUGCAGAAAAAGCACCGGCUAACUACGUGCCAGCAGCCGCCGUAA
rnacentral:rRNA from 1 species